UCCACUGGAUCGGACACAGCCCUGCCAAGGGAACUUUGCAGCUGUGUUCCCUCUGCUUAGCCCCGGUAUCUGCAUGGUUUGCUCCAUCACCUCCAAGCUUUCAUUCCAUUGCCUCGUUCGUAGUCGUUGCAACC